CAGCCGCCACGGUAAGACGAACCGUGCGAACGUUAUUCGGAAUCACUGGGCUUAAAGCGCGUGUAGGCGGGAGGGCACGUCCGUCGCUGAAAUCCCCCGGCUCAACCGGGGAACGGGCGCGGAUACGACUCUUCUGGAGGAACGUAGGGGGACCUGGAACUUCCGGUGGAGCGGUGAAAUGCGUUGAGAUCGGAAGGAACGCCCGUGGCGAAAGCGAGGUCCUGGACGUUUACUGACGCUGAGACGCGAAAGCUAGGGUAGCGAACGGGAUUAGAUACCCCGGUAGUCCCUGUCUCUUAUA
rnacentral:rRNA from 1 species